UACGUAGGGUGCAAGCGUUAAUCGGAAUUACUGGGCGUAAAGCGUGCGCAGGCGGUUUUGUAAGUUUGUCGUGAAGGCCCCGGGCUCAACCUGGGAAUGGCGAUGAAGACUGCAAGGCUAGAGUGUGUCAGAGGGGGGUAGAAUUCCACGUGUAGCAGUGAAAUGCGUAGAGAUGUGGAGGAACACCGAUGGCGAAGGCAGCCCCCUGGGAUAACACUGACGCUCAUGCACGAAAGCGUGGGGAGCGAACAGG
rnacentral:rRNA from 1 species